CAGAGGGUGCAAGCGUUGUUCGGAAUUACUGGACGUAAAGGGCGUGUAGGCGGCUUAACAAGUCAGGUGGGUGAAAUCCCGGGGCUCAACUCCGGAAGUGCAUUUGAAACUGUUAGGCUAGAGUGCUGUAGAGGAUGGUGGAAUUCCCAGUGGAGAGGUGAAAUUCGCAGAUAUUGGGAGGAACACCGGUGGCGAAGGCGGCCAUCUGGGCAGCAACUGACGCUGAGGCGCGAGAGCGUGGGGAGCAAACAGGAUUAGAUACCCUGGUAGUCCACGCUGUAAACUAUGGGUACUCGCUGUGGCUGGUAUUGACCCCGGCCGUAGCCAAGUUAACACGUUAAGUACCCCGCCUGGGGAGUACGGUCGCAAGAUUA
rnacentral:rRNA from 1 species